CCUACGGGACGCAGCAGUGAGGAAUAUUGGUCAAUGGCCGCAGGGCUGAACCAGCCAAGUCGCGUGAGGGAUGACGGUCCUAUGGAUUGUAAACCUCUUUUGUCAGGGAGCAAAGGGCGCCACGUGUGGCGUUUUGCGAGUACCUGAAGAAAAAGCAUCGGCUAACUCCGUGCCAGCAGCCGCGGUAAUACGUAGGUGGCAAGCGUUGUUCGGAAUAACUGGGCGUAAAGGAUGCGUAGGCGGUUAAACAAGUUAUAUGUUAAAU
rnacentral:rRNA from 1 species